AUGAAAUUGAAGUUCAAUCCGUCGGGACCUGGACCCUUAUCACCAUCGCAUUCUCACACCACACCCCUCACUUCGUCCAAAGUAAACACUUCCUCCAGUAAACUGACACUCCCCGUAGACAAUUUAACAAACUCAAUACCCUCCAAUAUAGGCCUUUGGAAACCGCAACACUCUUUGAAUCUCCCUUCGAAAAAAGAUUUAACAGCACCCUUCACCUCAGCAACACUUUCAACCCUCCCCUCUGAAGUAUUGACCCCCACUAUUGCAUUCGUCCUUGAUCUUGCUUUAAGAGAGACAUGA